AACAAAUGCCCUGCUUCCAGGAAAAGCCUCUAAGCAUCAGGUAACAUCAAAUCGUACCCCAAACCGACACAGGUGGUCAGGUAGAGAAUACCAAGGCGCUUGAGAGAACUCGGGUGAAGGAACUAGGCAAAAUGGUGCCGUAACUUCGGGAGAAGGCACGCUGACACGUAGGUGAAGUGAUUUACUCAUGGAGCUGAAGUCAGUCGAAGAUACCAGCUGGCUGCAACUGUUUAUUAAAAACACAGCACUGUGCAAACACGAAAGUGGACGUAUACGGUGUGACGCCUGCCCGGUGCCGGAAGGUUAAUUGAUGGGGUCAGCGCAAGCGAAGCUCCUGAUCGAAGCCCCGGUAAACGGCGGCCGUAACUAUAACGGUCCUAAGGUAGCGAAAUUCCUUGUCGGGUAAGUUCCGACCUGCACGAAUGGCGUAAUGAUGGCCAGGCUGUCUCCACCCGAGACUCAGUGAAAUUGAACUCGCUGUGAAGAUGCAGUGUACCCGCGGCAAGACGGAAAGACCCCGUGAACCUUUACUAUAGCUUGACACUGAACAUUGAGCCUUGAUGUGUAGGAUAGGUGGGAGGCUUUGAAGUGUGGACGCCAGUCUGCAUGGAGCCGACCUUGAAAUACCACCCUUUAAUGUUUGAUGUUCUAACGUGGACCCGUGAUCCGGGUUGCGGACAGUGUCUGGUGGGUAGUUUGACUGGGGCGGUCUCCUCCUAAAGAGUAACGGAGGAGCACGAAGGUUGGCUAAUCCUGGUCGGACAUCAGGAGGUUAGUGCAAUGGCAUAAGCCAGCUUGACUGCGAGCGUGACGGCGCGAGCAGGUGCGAAAGCAGGUCAUAGUGAUCCGGUGGUUCUGAAUGGAAGGGCCAUCGCUCAACGGAUAAAAGGUACUCCGGGGAUAACAGGCUGAUACCGCCCAAGAGUUCAUAUCGACGGCGGUGUUUGGCACCUCGAUGUCGGCUCAUCACAUCCUGGGGCUGAAGUAGGUCCCAAGGGUAUGGCUGUUCGCCAUUUAAAGUGGUACGCGAGCUGGGUUUAGAACGUCGUGAGACAGUUCGGUCCCUAUCUGCCGUGGGCGCUGGAGAACUGAGGGGGGCUGCUCCUAGUACGAGAGGACCGGAGUGGACGCAUCACUGGUGUUCGGGUUGUCAUGCCAAUGGCACUGCCCGGUAGCUAAAUGCGGAAGAGAUAAGUGCUGAAAGCAUCUAAGCACGAAACUUGCCCCGAGAUGAGUUCUCCCUGAGACUUAGAGUCUCCUGAAGGAACGUUGAAGACGACGACGUUGAUAGGCCGGGUGUGUAAGCGCAGCGAUGCGUUGAGCUAACCGGUACUAAUGAACCGUGAGGCUUAACCUU
rnacentral:rRNA from 1 species